CUCUCCAUUGUCCCAAGGAGAGUAAUAUCUGAAGUACAGUGGUUUUGCUUAUGGUACUUGAACCUUAUAACUUACACCACCACCUGUACACCACAUCAAGACCUCCUUUGUUAACAGGAAAAGAAGGGUAGUUGUAAUAGGAGACUCCCUUCUAAGGAGAAUGGAGGCCCGAUGUGCUGACCAGACCCAACUCACAGGGAAGUCUACUGUCUUCCAGGGGCUUGUAUAAGGGAUAUUAAUGGAAAAAUCUCAAGUGUAGUAAGGCCCUGUCCACUAUUUGUUGUUCAAACAGGCAGUGAUGAAAUAACAAAGAAAAGUCUGAGGGCAAUCAAAGGAGACUUCUGGGACCUGGGACAAUUGAUAGAGGGAUCAGGAUCACAGGGCUUCCAUACCCCAACCACUGUGACUGGAUGCAAUGUGCAGGUAGCUGGUUGCUCCUGUGAGGUGGUUCAUGGGGAGGCUGUGACCUCUGGUGCAGUGACUGAGGAAUGAGAGAAAAGAAUCCACAACAAUGUUGGACCUUAAAGCCAAGCCUGUACCAUACGGCUUUGGUAUUCGAGUAAUUCCGGUGACAUUGGUGGAACUUGGGUGAGUUACAGAAGCUGAGGGUCUGUUGCAGUAUGUCAAACAGAUGAACACGUUGGAGUGACCAAAACUGCAAGAGAGUUUCCUGGGGGAGCAUCAGUAAGUUGUUAUAGAGUGAGACUAGAAAAUAGGCAAGUACAGGACUUCAAACUCUGCAGCGUGGAGAGAUGACUUCUUGCAUCUACCUAAUGAUCUUAAUAACCAAGUAAGGUACUCAGCUAAACUGUAAUGAAAGCGUUUGUCUAAGUAUUCAGGCUUCAUUAUAGUUGGCGGUGGGUUUUUUUUGGGACGGUUGUUUGUGUGUGGUUUUUUGUUUGUUUGUUUUAGCAAACAGGGGAACUGAGUUAAUAUAAAGGAGUAAAUUUCUUUCACACCUUGAACUUGCACCUUAAUAACUCCACUUGCUGCUGCUUCCCAAAGUAAAAAUGAACCUGUUCUUUAGGAAUUUGAAUAUCAUAAGGUUUUAAGAUUAGGCUUUGUUUAGCUCCCUGAAUUCUGACUGUAGAAGAAAGAAUUGUGCCCACUGGGAGGAGGUGCACACAUUUUGUAGCAAGUGUGCACGUUGGAUAUGUAAGUGGUAAUACCUUCUCAUAAUUUUCUGUAUAAACCUCUCUGUCUGCACAAUGGUGAUACAUAAUAUUAGUCUUUCCAUUUACACUGAGGGAAAAUCCUCCCAUUUGGCUGUUUCUCUGAACUUUAAUUAAAUGCAGAAACCAUCUCAAAGACUUGACAGAUUUGUUAGAGAAAAUGGAGACAGUCGUUGAGCUCUACAUUUCUUCAAGGCUUUUCCUGUAUAUUACUUCUGGUGAUCCACUGUAUUGUAUUACAAGCCUCAGGUUCUGAAAUGAAAUAUGCAGGAGCAAGAUGCAGCUUUCCUGUUUAAAUCACUUGUAUUUCCUCAUCUCUUAUCUAACA